CCUANGGGGGGCAGCAGUGAGGAAUAUUGCGCAAUGGGGGCAACCCUGACGCAGCGACGCCGCGUGGAUGAUGAAGGCCUUCGGGUCGUAAAAUCCUGUCAGAUGGGAAGAAGUGCAUGGUGGUUAAUACCCGCCAUGUUUGACGGUACCAUCAGAGGAAGCACCGGCUAACUCCGUGCCAGCAGCCGCGGUAAUACGGAGGGUGCAAGCGUUGUUCGGAAUUACUGGGCGUAAAGCGCGCGUAGGCGGUUUGUUAAGUCAGAUGUGAAAGCCCAGGGCUUAACCUUGGACGUGCAUUUGAAACUGGCAGACGUGAGUAUUGGAGGGGGUGGUGGAAUUCCCGGUGUAGAGGUGAAAUUCGUAGAUAUCGGGAGGAAUACCGGUGGCGAAGGCGACCACCUGGCCAAAUACUGACGCUGAGGUGCGAAAGCGUGGGGAGCAAACAGGAUUAGAUACCCGUNUANUC
rnacentral:rRNA from 1 species